CCCUCUUGAAGUAAAUCUCUUUUUUGUCAACAAUAAGUAAAAAAUUUCACAAUAAAACAAAUUAAAUGCUUUAUAUUAAAAAAAAUCUAUAAUUCUACGUAUUUCUUUUAACCGUAAAAUUUUUGUAGACGGCCUUCUGUUUAUCUAUCUGAGUAUUUCCGCUUUUACCCCAUAUACAGUAGUUAUCAAGCUAUUAUAAGUUUUUUAAUUUGAUGUACAUUAAUUUAUUAGGUAAAUUUUAAAAUUAAAAAGAAGGACACGGUAAUGCGAUGUGCUAUAAGUCCACGAAUCCGGUUAGCUAUUACUUUGCGGUAUUUAGCAUCAGGAGAUUCUUUUAGAUCUUUGGAAUUUCUUAGCCACGUUUCCAGAAAAACCAUAAGCCAGUUUGUGCCUGAAGUACUUAAUGCAAUCGUAGAAUGUUUGCAAUCUAAAUAUUUGGUGUUUCCAUCUAAUGAGAAUGAAUGGCUUCAAGUUGCAAAUGAGUUUAAUCGUUUGUGGUAAUUCCCUCACACAUUAGGAGCAAUGGAUGGCAAGCACAUCCGAAUCAAAGCUCCUCCACAUUCAGGUUCGGAUUUUUUUAAUUAUAAAGGGUUUUUUAGUACCGUUCUCUUCGCGGUUGGCGGAAAUGGUGGUGCAUCCGAUGUGGUUAUAUUAAAAAAUUCAUCAUUAUAUUCACCUUUGAAAGAGGAAAUGCUAAAGAUACCCCCAGACGAAUUUCUGAAAGAACAGAAUGUCAAAACUACAUAUUUUUUAUAGGGGAUGGUAUUUUUGGUUUAGAACGCCAUAUAAUGAUUUAAAAUUUUCCAUCGUCCUAUUGAAGUUAACAUAGAAACAUGCGAUUUGCUGUAAAAACCUGCUGUAUUUUACAUUAUUAUUUAACAACAGAUAUGGUUGAGACUUAUUUAAACGAAACACUAUCGGCAAAUUUACCUGAAACAAUAUUACCUCUACCAUCACAAAGUCACGAUACAAUUAGAUUUGCCAAUGAAGCGAGAGACAACGUUAGAAAGUAUCUCGUUACAGAUGGAGACGUACCAUUUCAAUGGAAUAAGAUUAAAAAACAAACAGCAAAUCCGGUUACCGUUACAAUUAAUUGAGGCAUCAAAGCCAACAAAAAUUUUAAUUAGAAUAUUUGUUUAUGUUUAAACUUCUCUACCUCCUGGUGUAUAUGUAAAAGUUUAUGAAGACAAACAAACCCCUUAUGAGAAUGGAAUGUAUUUCUUCGAUAUUCAAUUGGGAUGAAACACUUUGAUGGGUAAAGUGUCUGAAUUCAAUAAUACGCUGCUAAAAAUGAUCGUUUCCAUUGGUACCAGAACCAUAUUUUAAUGAAUUUGCUUAGUCUCAAUCUUCGUGAAAUAAAACUUCAUUCAAAUGUAAAACAAAAUAUUAAUUUAAAGAAAAGACAAUUUUCAAAACAAAUUAAUUUUAUUUUUUUUCUCAAAAAUUUGAACAAAAACACAAAA